rnacentral:rRNA from 1 species
GAUGAACGCUGGCGGCGUGCCUAAUACAUGCAAGUCGAGCGAACAGACGAGGAGCUUGCUCCUCUGACGUUAGCGGCGGACGGGUGAGUAACACGUGGAUAACCUACCUAUAAGACUGGGAUAACUUCGGGAAACCGGAGCUAAUACCGGAUAAUAUAUUGAACCGCAUGGUUCAAUAGUGAAAGACGGCUUUGCUGUCACUUAUAGCUGGAUCCGCGCCGCAUUAGCUAGUUGGUAAGGUAACGGCUUACCACGGCAACGAUGCGUAGCCGACCUGAGAGGGUGAUCGGCCACACGGGAGCUGAGACACGGUCCAGACUCCUACGGGAGGCAGCAGUAGGGAAUCUUCCGCAAUAGGCGAAAGCUUGACGGAGCAACGCCGCGUGAGUGAUGAAGGUCUUCGGAUCGUAAAACUCUGUUAUUAGGGAAGAACAAAUGUGUAAGUAACUAUGCACGUCUUGACGGUACCUAAUCAGAAAGCCACGGCUAACUACGUG